rnacentral:rRNA from 1 species
UACGUAGGGUGCGAGCGUUAAUCGGAAUUACUGGGCGUAAAGCGUGCGCAGGCGGUUAUGUAAGACAGAUGUGAAAUCCCCGGGCUCAACCUGGGAACUGCAUUUGUGACUGCAUAGCUAGAGUACGGCAGAGGGGGAUGGAAUUCCGCGUGUAGCAGUGAAAUGCGUAGAUAUGCGGAGGAACACCGAUGGCGAAGGCAAUCCCCUGGACCUGUACUGACGCUCAUGCACGAAAGCGUGGGGGAGCAAACAGG